GAUGAAGAACGUAGCGAAAUGCGAUAAGUAAUGUGAAUUGCAGAAUUCAGUGAAUCAUCGAAUCUUUGAACGCAUCUUGCGCUCCUUGGUAUUCUGAGGAGCAUGCCUGUUGAGUGUCAUUAAAUUCUCAACUACACUGACUUUGAAUUGGUGUGGCUUGGAUUUGGGGGGAAAAUUGUUGUGGGCUUUUUGUAUAGUCUGCUCCCCUGAAAUUGAUUAGCGGUACCUUUGUGGAACUGUCUACAGGUGUGAUAAUUAUCUACAUCUUAGACAUCUGCUGGAAUGCUGCUUUCUAAACCUUACUUGUAUUGACAAUCUUGACCUCAAAUCAGGUAGGACUACCCGCUGAACUUAAGCAUAUCAAUAAGCGGAGGA
rnacentral:misc_RNA from 1 species